rnacentral:misc_RNA from 1 species
AGCAGCCGCGGUAAUUCCAGCUCCAAUAGCGUAUAUUAAAGUUGUUGCAGUUAAAAGCUCGUAGUUGAAUUUCGGAAUCUGUCCGUCGGUCGGGCUUCACUGUCCGUACUGGUGUGGUGGGCUCUUACCUUCUGAAUAACCAGCAUGCCAUUCACUUGGUGCGUUGGGGAAGCAGGACUAUUACCUUGAAAAAUUGAGUGCUCAAAGCAGGCCAGUGCCUGAAUACAUUAGCAUGGAAUAAUAAAAUAGGACGGCAUGGUUCUAUUUUGUUGGUUUCUAGGAUCACCGUAAUGAUUAAUAGGGAUAGUUGGGGGCAUUAGUGUUCAAUUGUCAGAGGUGAAAUUCUUGGAUUUAUUGAAGACUAACUUCUGCGAAAGCAUUUGCCAAGGAUGUUUUCAUUAAUCAAGAACGAAAGUUAGGGGAUCGAAGACGAUCAGAUACCGUCGUAGUCUUAACCAUAAACUAUGCCGACUAGGGA